rnacentral:tRNA from 2 species
UCUGAUAUAGCUCAGCGGCAGAGUACCCGGCUCUUCACCCGGGAGGACACAGGUUCGAGCCCUGUUAUCAGAACAA